CAGGGCCUGACCCUGAGGGCAUGAGGGGCAGAGAGCAGGAAUGACAUUGACAGCUAAAUUCACGAAAAGUGAAAAUGAGCACUAAGCCGGCAUUUGAUGGAUAUGGAGACGAGGGCUGAAGGAGGGACAGGAACUUGGAUUUGUUCUCACCUGUGUCCCUGUAUCCUAGAACAGCACCUGGCAUGUAGCAGGGACUCAGUAAAUAUUCUUUGGGUGGAAUAAAAGCUGUGAUGAAGAUGAGGAUGAUGGUGGUCAACAUGCCCUGGUGAUUUCCUGGACACCCUUCUAAGUGCUUAGCACACAUUCACUGGCUGUUCUGCAUGUGAGCCUUGCGUGGUGGGUUCUGCAGAGCGGGGAUCCUGCGUGGUGUAGGGGCAGCCCUUCCUGUUUGCGUAACGCUGUGCUCUGAUCUCUCAACAGAGAUCAUACGUGCGUGUGCUCGGCUCAGCACUGGCAAUGUAACCUCCGCCUCCCAGGCUCAAUCAGUUCUCCUGCUUCAGCCUCCCAAGUAGCUGGGACUACAGGUGCCC